rnacentral:rRNA from 1 species
UACGUAGGGUGCAGGCGUUAAUCGGAAUUACUGGGCGUAAAGCGUGCGCAGGCGGUUUGCUAAGACAGGUGUGAAAUCCCCGGGCUUAACCUGGGAACUGCGCUUGUUACUGGCAGGCUUGAGUGUGGCAGAGGGGGGGUGGAAUUCCACGUGUAGCAGUGAAAUGCGUAGAGAUGUGGAGGAACACCGAUGGCGAAGGCAGCCCCCUGGGCUAACACUGACGCCUCAUGCACGAAAGCGUGGGGAGCAAACAGG